AAGGAUAAGGAAAUGUGCCAGUCUGUGCUCCAGGUUCUCCUACCUUGGUGCGGAGAAUGAGAGGUAGUGGCAGCAAAACCAACACAGUGACAACCACAAGGAGAAAGCGGCGAUAAACCAGAGCAUAACUGAGGAGUUUCAUUGUCCUGAGCAGUAACUGGAAUAUGGAUUGCCUGGAGAGCCCGGGAGAGGACAGAAGACGAAAUCGUGAAGUUAGCUGAAUUUGCCCACACUGAAUCUCCUGCCCCUGACUUCCCCUAGCUGGAGUAGCCACGAUUGUUUUGCUACUCAGGAACCUGAGGCAGGAAAACUGCAAAGUCAAGCACAGCCGGGACUACAUAGCGAGUUCAAGAUGACAUGAG